rnacentral:rRNA from 1 species
GACCAGACUCCUACGGGAGGCAGCAGUGGGGAAUAUUGCACAAUGGGGGAAACCCUGAUGCAGCGACGCCGCGUGAGUGAAGAAGUAUUUCGGUAUGUAAAGCUCUAUCAGCAGGAAAGAAAAUGACGGUACCUGACUAAGAAGCCCCGGCUAACUACGUGCCAGCAGCCGCGGUAAUACGUAGGGGGCAAGCGUUAUCCGGAUUUACUGGGUGUAAAGGGAGCGUAGACGGUGAAGCAAGUCUGAAGUGAAAGGCGGGGGCUCAACCCCCGGACUGCUUUGGAAACUGUUUGACUGGAGUGCAGGAGAGGUAAGUGGAAUUCCUAGUGUAGCGGUGAAAUGCGUAGAUAUUAGGAGGAACACCGGCGGCGAAGGCGGCCUGCUGGACCGUGACUGACGUUGAGGCUCGAGAGCGUGGGGAGCAAACAGGAUUAGAUACCCGAGUA